GUCGGUGUGGCUCAGUUGGUUAGAGCGUUGGUCUCAUAUAGCGAGUAAUUCGUCAAGUAUGACUUGGUUAAACACCAGGGUAAUCCAAAGGUCGAGAGUUCGAGCCUCUCCACCGACA
rnacentral:tRNA from 1 species